rnacentral:rRNA from 1 species
AGAGUUUGAUCCUGGCUCAGGACGAACGCUGGCGGCGUGCCUAACACAUGCAACUCGAACGGGAUCCACGCCAUGAAGUUUUCGGAUGGAUUGGUGUGGUGAGAGUGGCGAACGGGCGAGUAACGCGUGAGCAACCUACCUCGUACUGGGGGAUAACGUCGGGAAACCGGCGCUAAUACCGCAUAAGACUACGAUGCCGCAUGGCAAUGUAGUCAAAGCUCCGGCGGUACGAGACGGGCUCGCGUCCGAUUAGCUAGUUGGUAGGGUAAUGGCCUACCAAGGCGACGAUCGGUAGCCGGACUGAGAGGUCGGCCGGCCGCAUUGGGACUGAGACACGGCCCAGACUCCUACGGGAGGCAGCAGUGGGGAAUCUUGGACAAUGGGGGAAACCCUGAUCCAGCCAUUCCGCGUGUGCGAUGAAGGCCUUCGGGUUGUAAAGCACUUUUGGCGGGGAAGAAAUUGCGC